AUUGAACGCUGGCGGCAGGCCUAACACAUGCAAGUCGAACGAGUGGCGGACGGGUGAGUAAUGUCUGGGAAACUGCCCGAUGGAGGGGGAUAACUACUGGAAACGGUAGCUAAUACCGCAUACCAUCGGAUGUGCCCAGAUGGGAUUAGCUGGUAGGUGGGGUAAUGGCUCACCUGGGCGACGAUCCCUAGCUGGUCUGAGAGGAUGACCGGCGACACUGGAACUGGGACACGGUCCAGACUCCUCAGGGAGGCAGCGUUGGGGAAUAUUGCAAAAUGGGCGAAAGCCUGAUGAAGCCAGGCCGCGUGUAUGAAGAAGGCCUUCGGGUUGUAAAGUACUUUCAGCGGGGAGGCGUUACUCGCAGAAGAAGCACCGGCUAACUCCGUGCCAGCAGCCGCGGUAAUAC
rnacentral:rRNA from 1 species